GACGAACGCUGGCGGCGUGCUUAACACAUGCAAGUCGAACGGAAAGGCCCUGCUUUUGUGGGGUGCUCGAGUGGCGAACGGGUGAGUAACACGUGAGUAACCUGCCCUUGACUUUGGGAUAACUUCAGGAAACUGGGGCUAAUACCGGAUAGGAGCUCCUGCUGCAUGGUGGGGGUUGGAAAGUUUCGGCGGUUGGUGAUGGACUGGCGGCUUAUCAGCUUGUUGGUGGGGUAGUGGCUUACCAAGGCUUUGACGGGUAGCCGGCCUGAGAUGGUGACCGGCCACAUUAGGACUGACAUACGCCCGAGUCUCCUACGGGAUGCAGCAGUGAGGAAUAUUCCCUAAUGGGCGGAGGCCUGACGCAGCAACGCCGCGUGCGGGAUGACGACCUUCGGGUUGUAAACCGCUUUCGCCUGUGACGAAGCGUCAGUGACGGUAAUGGGUAAAGAAGCACCGGCUAACUACGUG
rnacentral:rRNA from 1 species